UCAUUGCGAAAAAUGGUUACAUUAUUAAAAAGUUUUGUUAAUAAAAAUGGUUGUAUUAUGAAAAGUUUGGUUUCUAAAAGAGACGGUAUGAGUUUUCGUUGAUAUAAGUGUUAGUAUUAUAAAAGGUUUCGCUGCUGAAAGUGGUGUGAAAGGUUUUGAUAAUAAGAAUAGUAGCAUGAAAAGUUUUGGUUAUUAUAAGGUAUCUUAAGGAGUAAUUUGUUAACGAAAAUGAUAGUAUCAUGAUAGCUUUGGCUGAUAAAAAUGGUAACAUGGAAGGUUCUAUUGAUUAAAAAUGGCACCAUGAAAGAGUUGGAUGAUGAGAUAUGGUAGUAUUAUAACAGGAAUGGUAGCAAUGAAGAUUCAUUCAUGAAAAUGAUGCGAUUGCAAAAGGUUUCGUUUAUAUAAAUGGCAGUAUUAUGAAAGGUUUUGAUGAUAAAAUUCAUUCUAUUUUGAAAGGUUUCGUAAGAAUCAUGAAAGAUUUGGUUGAUAAAUAUGGAAGUUUUCUGAAAGGUUUUGAUGAUGAAGAUAAUAUUUACAAGGUUUAGUUGAUGAAAGCAGUAGCAUGAAAGAAUUAACAGAUAUAAAUGGUUGUAUAUGAGAGUUUUUUUAUGAAAAAGUAUGGAAAGUUUGCUUGAUAAAAAUGGUAGCUUUAUGAAAGGUUAAAAAAAUCACAAAGAAAGGUUCGUGAAACAGUUAGUAAAAGAAAUAAAAAGAAGAUAAAAUUCACAGUAAUAUGAAAGGUAUCGUUUAGUAAAAUGGAAGUAUUAUGAAAGGCUUGACUGAUUAAAAUGGUAGCAUUAUGAAAGGUUUCGUUGAAACAAUGGUAGUAUUAUCAGAGUUUUGUUGAUAAAAGUGUAGCAUUAUGAAGAUUUUGAUUGAUAAAAAUGGAAUCGCAACAGUUAAAGCGAUAAAAACGUAGCAUUAGUAAAGCUUGGUUAAUCUAAAAGGUUUCUCGAUAAACAUGGUAAUAUUAUGAGAGAUUUAUUUGAUUUAAAAGGCAGUAUUUUAUAAAGACGGUAGCAUAUAGGGAAAAAUAACGAAAGAUUUUUAUAGCCAAAAAUAGUAAUAAUAAGCAAGCUUUGGUUGAGGUAUAUGGUAGUAUCAUGAAAGAUUUCGAUAAAAAUGGCAGAAUUAAAGGUUUAAUUGAUAAAGAUGAUAACAUUAUGAAAGAUUUUAUUACAACUGGUAGCAUUGUUAGAAUUUUAUUGAUGAAAAAUGGCAAAAAGAAAUAUUUUGAUAAUACACAUGGUAGUAGUAUAAAAGUUUGGUUGAUAUAAUUGGUUGGUAUAAUUGGAAAUUUUGGUUUAAAAUGGUAUAAAAGGUAUGGUUAAUGGAUGCUAUAGUAUUGUUAAUAUUAUGAAGGAUUAACUAGUAAAAAAGGUAACAUGGAAGGUUUGUUUGCUAGAUCGGUAAUUUUAAGAAAGGUUUUAAUGAAAGAAAUCGCAUAUUAAAAGGUUUUGUUAAUAAGAAUAGUAUGAAAGGUUUGGCUGGAAAAAGUGUGGUAUGGAGAAAUCUUUGAAGAAUGAAAAUAGUGGUAGUACGAAAGUUUUCGGUAAUUAAAAUGGUAGUAUUAUGAAAUUCUUUGUUGAUAAGAAUGGUAGCAUGAAAGGUUUCGUUAAUAAAUGUGGUAGCAUGACCAUUUCUUGAUUAGAGAUGGUAGUUUUUAUGAAAGGUCUGGCUUAUAAGAUGGUAGCAUUAUGCAAGGUUUCAUAAUAUAAAUGGUAAUUGUAAAUUACAUGGUUAACAGAAAUGGUAGAAAAAACACCCCCAAAAUAUAGCAUUAUAAAAGGCUACAAUAAUAAUAAUAUGAAGGUUGCUAAAUUCGGUAGAUGAAAAUAGUGGUAUUAUAAAAGGUGUUAUGACUGGUAUGAAAGGUUUGGUUAAUGGAGAUCGUAAUAUUAAGAAAAGUGUUGAUAACAAAGAUAGUAUUAUGUUUGGUGUUCAAUAUAAAAGCAUAAAAAAUUGAUAAUAGAAAUAUCGUUUAUGAAAAUCGUAAUAUUAUAAAGGUUUUUGAUGACAAGAAGGUUGGUUAUUAAAGAGUUUGAUGAUAAUGGUAGCAUUAACUUACGAGAGGUGUUCGUGAUUAAAAUGAGAGCAAUAUGAAAUGUUUCGUUAAUGACAAUGGUAGUAUUAUGAAAGAUUUUGUUGAUGAAAAUGGCAGUAUUAUGAAAAAUUUGCUUGAUAAAAAUGGUAGCUUUAUGAAAGGUUGCCAGAAAGAAAAUGGUAUUAUUAUGAAAGGUAUGGUGGAUUGGCUGAUGAAAAUAAUGGUAUUCUGAAAGUUUUGAAAUAUGGGUAUUAUAAGGUGUUUGGUUUAUACAUAAAAAAUAAAAUAGGUAGAAUGGUUUCGGUGAUAAAGAUAAAGGUUAAGAUGAUAGAAAUGGUAAUAAUAUGAAUGUUUUAGUUGAUAAUGGUAGCAUUGUGAAAGGUUUGGUCGACAAAGAUGUUAGUAUUAUGGAAGCAUUGGUUGAUCAAAAAUGACAGCAUUAUCAAAUGUUUUGGUAAUGACAUUGGUAGUAUUAUGUAAGGUUUCACUGAUAAAAAUGGUAGCGUUAUGAAAUGUGUCGAUGAGAAUAAUGCUGAAUCUAUUAUGUAUUUUCGUGAUAAAAAUGGUAUAAUUAUAAAAGUCUUGGAUAGUAAAAUGAAGAAUUAGUCUUUGGCUGCAUGUUAUAAAGAUCACAUAAAGAGUAUUUAUCUUGUUGAAUAUCAUUAAGGGAAAAUGAAAAACUAGUCCUAAGCUAAGUAAUGUUCAAGUAAAAUGAUAAACAAGUCCCACGCAAUAUUACUUAUGUGAAAGGGUUGUUAUAGUCCUGUAAUGAAAACCAUUAAGGUAAAUAAGUGUUUCGUCCGGCGUAGUAUUAUUACAGUAAAAUGAGUUUGUUCCAUGCUGAGUAUUAUUAAGGCAAGGUAAUGAGUUAGUCUCAGGUUGUGUAUUACUAAGGAAAAUAAAAGUCCCGACUGUAUGUAUUAUCAAGGUAAAUAAGGAGAUAAUCUACCAGGUUUGAGUAGUGCGAAGGUAAAAUUGAGUAUAUUUCGGGACUGUGUUUUGGCUGCGGUGGAAUUAGGCUCAGGAAAAAAAAGAUAAAUGGUUGACAAUUAUGGUAGAAACAGAAAAAAAUGAUAAUCGGUUGACAAUCAAGGUAGAAACAGAAAAAAACGGAUAAAUGGUUGACAAUUAUGGUUGAAACAGAACAAAAAGGAUAAAUGAUUGACAAUUAUGAGAGAAACAAUAGUAAAAAUAGCAAUAACCAGUGUGAUAACUGUAUAAGAGGACUUUAGGGUAAUUUCUGAAUUAGUGAUAAAAAAAACAAAUCAAAACAAAAAUUAAAAGUCCAAUUUAUGACCCAAGUUACAAGAAGAAAAAGUGUGAAAGUGAGUAUAGAUGUUCUCAUGAAUUUAAUGAAUCGUAAAUUUGAUUAAUUUCAUGAGAUAGUAUCAUCGACUUUUUCCAUGGGAAACUUUGAAUUAUAUCCUCCGUUAAUGGCGGAAUGAACGAAAGUUUUCGGUAUGCUGAAAAAAAAAUAUAUAUAUAUAGGGUCAAAUGUAUUGAAAAACUACGAUUAGUGAAGAAAGUGUUAUGGUAAAAAAAAAAAAAAAAAAAUAGUGUGUGGGUAGGAUUUGUUAGAUAUAAGUAGAUAUAUGAGUACAUAUAUGAUAGAAACAUUAAUAUAUAUAUAUAUAUAUAUAUAUAUAUAUAUAUAUAUAUAUAUAUAUAUAUA